AGGACGAACGCUGGCGGCGUGCCUAACACAUGCAAGUCGAACGAGGUCGCCUUCGGGCAAUGACCAAGUGGCGAACGGGUGCGUAACACGUGAGGAACCUGCCCCGAAGACUGGGACAACCACGGGAAACUGUGGCUAAUACCAGAUGCCCUCCGCUGAUCGCAUGAUCGGCAGAGGAAAUGCUCCGGCGCUUCGGGAGGGCCUCGCGGCCUAUCAGCUUGUUGGCGAGGUAACGGCUCACCAAGGCAUCGACGGGUAGCUGGUCUGAGAGGACGAUCAGCCACACUGGGACUGAGACACGGCCCAGACUCCUGCGGGAGGCAGCAGUGGGGAAUCUUGCGCAAUGGGCGAAAGCCUGACGCAGCAACGCCGCGUGGGGGAUGAAGGCUCUCGGGUUGUAAACCCCUUUCAGCAGGGACGAAAUUGACGGUACCUGAAGAAGAAGCCCCGGCCAACUACGUGCCAGCAGCCGCGGUGACACGUAGGGGGCGAGCGUUGUCCGGAAUUAUUGGGCGUAAAGAGCUCGUAGGCGGUUUAGUAAGUCAGAUGUGAAAGGUUGGGGCUCAACCCUAAGACUGCAUCCGAUACUGCUAUGACUAGAGUCCGG
rnacentral:rRNA from 1 species